rnacentral:rRNA from 1 species
CAGUACCGUGAGGGAAAGGCGAAAAGAACCCCGGCGAGGGGAGUGAAAAAGAACCUGAAACCGUGUACGUACAAGCAGUGGGAGCCUCUUAAUGGGGUGACUGCGUACCUUUUGUAUAAUGGGUCAGCGACUUAUAUUCUGUAGCAAGGUUAACCGAAUAGGGGAGCCGAAGGGAAACCGAGUCUUAACUGGGCGUUAAGUUGCAGGGUAUAGACCCGAAACCCGGUGAUCUAGCCAUGGGCAGGUUGAAGGUUGGGUAACACUAACUGGAGGACCGAACCGACUAAUGUUGAAAAAUUAGCGGAUGACUUGUGGCUGGGGGUGAAAGGCCAAUCAAACCGGGAGAUAGCUGGUUCUCCCCGAAAGCUAUUUAGGUAGCGCCUCGUGAAUUCAUCUCCGGGGGUAGAGCACUGUUUCGGCAAGGGGGUCAUCCCGACUUACCAACCCGAUGCAAACUGCGAAUACCGGAGAAUGUUAUCACGGGAGACACACGGCGGGUGCUAACGUCCGUCGUGAAGAGGGAAACAACCCAGACCGCCAGCUAAGGUCCCAAAGUCAUGGUUAAGUGGGAAACGAUGUGGGAAGGCCCAGACAGCCAGGAUGUUGGCUUAGAAGCAGCCAUCAUUUAAAGAAAGCGUAAUAGCUCACUGGUCGAGUCGGCCUGCGCGGAAGAUGUAACGGGGCUAAACCAUGCACCGAAGCUGCGGCAGCGACACUAUGUGUUGUUGGGUAGGGGAGCGUUCUGUAAGCCUGUGAAGGUGUACUGUGAGGUAUGCUGGAGGUAUCAGAAGUGCGAAUGCUGACAUAAGUAACGAUAAAGCGGGUGAAAAGCCCGCUCGCCGGAAGACCAAGGGUUCCUGUCCAACGUUAAUCGGGGCAGGGUGAGUCGACCCCUAAGGCGAGGCCGAAAGGCGUAGUCGAUGGGAAACAGGUUAAUAUUCCUGUACUUGGUGUUACUGCGAAGGGGGGACGGAGAAGGCUAUGUUGGCCGGGCGACGGUUGUCCCGGUUUAAGCGUGUAGGCUGGUUUUCCAGGCAAAUCCGGAAAAUCAAGGCUGAGGCGUGAUGACGAGGCACUACGGUGCUGAAGCGACAAAUGCCCUGCUUCCAGGAAAAGCCUCUAAGCAUCAGGUAACAUCAAAUCGUACCCCAAACCGACACAGGUGGUCAGGUAGAGAAUACCAAGGCGCUUGAGAGAACUCGGGUGAAGGAACUAGGCAAAAUGGUGCCGUAACUUCGGGAGAAGGCACGCUGAUAUGUAGGUGAAGCGACUUGCUCGUGGAGCUGAAAUCAGUCGAAGAUACCAGCUGGCUGCAACUGUUUAUUAAAAACACAGCACUGUGCAAACACGAAAGUGGACGUAUACGGUGUGACGCCUGCCCGGUGCCGGAAGGUUAAUUGAUGGGGUUAGCGGUAACGCGAAGCUCUUGAUCGAAGCCCCGGUAAACGGCGGCCGUAACUAUAACGGUCCUAAGGUAGCGAAAUUCCUUGUCGGGUAAGUUCCGACCUGCACGAAUGGCGUAAUGAUGGCCAGGCUGUCUCCACCCGAGACUCAGUGAAAUUGAACUCGCUGUGAAGAUGCAGUGUACCCGCGGCAAGACGGAAAGACCCCGUGAACCUUUACUAUAGCUUGACACUGAACAUUGAGCCUUGAUGUGUAGGAUAGGUGGGAGGCUUUGAAGUGUGGACGCCAGUCUGCAUGGAGCCGACCUUGAAAUACCACCCUUUAAUGUUUGAUGUUCUAACGUGGGCCCCUUACCGGGGUUGCGGACAGUGUCUGGUGGGUAGUUUGACUGGGGCGGUCUCCUCCUAAAGAGUAACGGAGGAGCACGAAGGUUGGCUAAUCCUGGUCGGACAUCAGGAGGUUAGUGCAAUGGCAUAAGCCAGCUUGACUGCGAGCGUGACGGCGCGAGCAGGUGCGAAAGCAGGUCAUAGUGAUCCGGUGGUUCUGAA